rnacentral:antisense_RNA from 1 species
GAGCAAGGGAGUGCUCGGGAAAUGGAAACAAUGAAUGAAUCAAUCAGUCAAUCAGAUAACAAGGAUUAACAAUUUCCAGAGACAGCCCGUACAUAGAGGGAAAGUUUACUGAAAAAAAUGAAGAGGGGUCAGGGCAAGGCGAGGAGCAAGAAGCAUCCCCAAGGAAACAGAGAAGACCAGUACAACUGUACCUCUUUGCCAGCUGCACCAUCCGUACCAGGUGGCACGUUCUAGAGGCCAUAGCCUCUGUUCUGGUCAUCUCCAGUCUCCUGGGGUGGGAGUGUACAGCUCAGAGACUGCCACACUGCAAGACGAAGGGGCUGGAUGGACGGAAGUAAGAGGCGGAACCCUGCACACCCUCGGCCUCAGCCCCACUGAGUCUCCAAUGGGGCCACGCUUCUGAGUGCACCUCCCCCUGUCAUCUGUAAUGUGAGGGGGAACCAGGCUUGAUAUGGCAUUCCCAAUCCAGGGCCUCUGGACCCCUUGAGAUGCAUUAAAAUAGUGAUGGGGGCCUGAGAGUUCUUUUUUUUUUUUGGUCAUGAACUAUUUUUAACAUUUCCAAAAGGCUCCUGGAAAUUAUUAUGCAGCCAACCACAACAGGGCUGCAACAAAAUGCCAGUAUCUUCGCUUUUCUCUGGAGUCGCAUCAGCUCAGACCGUCACACUGAUCAAAGGCACCGCUUGGCAGUCAUCUAUGUUAGUGAUGAGUAAAGUAGACAGG